rnacentral:rRNA from 1 species
UCUACGGGAGGCAGCAGUAGGGAAUAUUGCUCAAUGGGGGAAACCCUGAAGCAGCAACGCCGCGUGGAGGAUGAAGGUUUUCGGAUUGUAAACCCCUUUUGUUAGAGAAGAUAAUGACGGUAUCUAACGAAUAAGCACCGGCUAACUCCGUGCCAGCAGCCGCGGUAAUACGGGGGGUGCGAGCGUUAAUCGGAAUCACUGGGAUUAAAGAGCGCGCAGGCGGGAUAGCAAGUCAGAUGUUAAAUCCUAGGGCUUAACCAUGGAACUGCAUUUUAAACUGGUAGUCUAGAGUAUGGUAGAGGUAGGUGGAAUUCUUGGUGUAGGGGUAAAAUCCGUAGAGAUCAAGAAGAAUACUCAUUGCGAAGGCAGCCUGCUGGAACAUAACUGACGCUGAUGCGCGAAAGCGUGGGGAGCAAACAGGAUUAGAUACCCCUGUAGUC